rnacentral:rRNA from 1 species
GAUGAACGCUAGCGACAGGCCUAACACAUGCAAGUCGAGGGGCAGCACAUGAGUAGCAAUACGAUGGUGGCGACCGGCGCACGGGUGAGUAACACGUAUGCAACCUACCUGUAAGAGGGGAAUAACCCGGAGAAAUUCGGACUAACACCGCAUAAUACCGAUUAACUGCAUGGUUGAUCGGUUAAAUAUUUAUAGCUUACAGAUGGGCAUGCGUAACAUUAGAUAGUUGGUGAGGUAACGGCUCACCAAGUCAACGAUGUUUAGGGGUUCUGAGAGGAAGGUCCCCCACACUGGUACUGAGACACGGACCAGACUCCUACGGGAGGCAGCAGUGAGGAAUAUGGUCAAUGGGCGAGAGCCUGAACCAGCCAAGUCGCGUGAAGGAAGAGGUUCUAUGGAUUGUAAACUUCUUUGUAAGGGAAUAAAAGGUUAACGUGUAACUUAUUGUAUGUACUUACGAUAAGAUCGGUAACUCGUGCCAGCAGCCGCGUAAUACGU